rfam:Sarcophilus harrisii ctg7180002435859, whole genome shotgun sequence.
CAUGGAGGAAGCUGACCUAGCUGGUGUGGUAUAGAGAAGCCAACUUGUUUAUAUGUCUAGUCCAUG